CAUUAUACAAAUAAUGAAUGUUUAUGUGUGCAAUGGUAAGAAUAUUUUCAUGAGGUGAAAGAUGGAAUGUUCCAUUCAACGAGGCGACAGCCGAGUUGAAUGGAACAUUCCAUCUUUCUCCGAAUGAAAAUAUUCUUACCAUUGCACGAAUAAACAUUCAUUAUUUGUUUUAUA
rnacentral:miRNA from 1 species